GCUAUAGUACAGGGCCACUGAUAUGCAAUCUGGGGUAUUUCGGUCUGUCCUUUCCCAGAAUUUGCACAUGGCUUGAUAAGAGCAAGCCUGAACAGAAAGGAAGUUGCUCACCAGAUGCCUGCACCUACGCAUGUAGCAUGCUAUUCUCUGAUCCAGAACUAUGACUUCAGCACAUUGUAGAUCCCCACUCCGGCUCCCAGCAGUCACCCAUGACCUCUCCUAACUGUAUCCGUCCUAAGGUUGUCUUGUCACUUGAGUGGACACAGGUAUAUACAUUGGUGGAAGCAGGUAAAAGUUGGAUUCUCAAUAUUUCUUUUUUUCUCUUUUGGUUCUUUUUUAUUCCCUUUAGAAAUUUCUAAGUUAUUGAUGCUCAGUUUUAUGAUCUCUCAACCCCACCUCUUGCCUUCUCUUUUAAAAUAUUUUUCUGGAGAUUACUUCCACUCAGUCUUCCAGGGUUUUUAUUGGAGAUAUGUGAAUGGUUCUUUAUUCCUAAAAAUGUUUGGUGGCUUGCUCAUGAUUUCCUUAAUAGACAUUGCUCGUGCAAUAUUGAUGCAGGAGCUUCCGGAGUCUUUAUCGCACUGAAAAGAGGUGUGGUUUAUUUUGUUUCUCUGCUUCCUGUUUUACCUUAGUGUCAUCUGUGGUUCUUCCCUCACACUGUCUAUAGUAUUUUAUGUUCAAGGCCUUCUUGAGGCUGGGGAGAUGGCUCAGCAAUUUACAGCACUGGAUGCUCUCCAGAGGACCCAUGCUCAAUUCCUAGCACCCAUAAGGCAAUUCAUAUCUAUCUGUAACUUCAGUUCCACGGUACGUGAUGCUGCCUUCUGACCUACAUGGCUACCAAACAUGCACAGGAUGAACAGACAUACAUACAGAGAAGACGAUGGCAGACCUAGAAGAGAAGCUAUCUGUCCAAUGAGUGUAUUGGGAUUCCUUACAGGAGGAACUUGAGCAAGAGCUAGUUUGUAAGAAGCAGAUGAUUUGGGACACUGCGUCUCAAGAACAACCCUGAGGACAAUGUGUGCUUGGAGCACAUGAAGCUCAAGAAGAAGGAAGACCAAAGUCUGGAGGACAGGCAUGCCUGGGAGCAGCUGUUGGGAUUAUGGGGAAGGAAGCACAGUACCACCUACAGAAUAAGAGAAGAGACACCCGAUGGCUUCAGUAGGAGUUAUAAAUGUGAUGUGCCUGAUAGUAUUGAAGAAAUCGUGGGUUCUGAUGGUUUCUGCUUAGAAGAAAAAGCAUCCUCAGACUAGCAAAGAAGCAACUGUUUAGGUUGGUCAGAGGAACCUACGAAACCCAGCCUAAAGCUCCGGCUAAAACCUUAAAGGUUUAUGUCCCCAGGGAACAUGCUAUGUGUCUUUCACAACCAGUCCAGUCAUCUGCACAUUGCAAACCUGCAGACGUUCCCUCAGCACCCUGAGGUUUGCAACUUAGACUCCGGACAGCAUCUGCUGUCAUCAAUACACCAGAACCAGGUUAUCAACACAGAAAAAGUAGUGUAUUUCCUGCUUCAUAACUUUUCAAA
rnacentral:lncRNA from 1 species